rnacentral:rRNA from 1 species
UAAGGAAUAUUGGUCAAUGGAGGCAACUCUGAACCAGCCAUGCCGCGUGCAGGAAGACAGCCCUAUGGGUCGUAAACUGCUUUUAUGUCGGAAUAAACCUAAGUACGUGUACUUAGCUGAAUGUACGGCAAGAAUAAGGAUCGGCUAACUCCGUGCCAGCAGCCGCGGUAAUACGGAGGAUCCAAGCGUUAUCCGGAUUUAUUGGGUUUAAAGGGAGCGUAGGCGGUCUGUUAAGUCAGGGGUGAAAGACGGUGGCUCAACCAUCGCAGUGCCUUUGAUACUGACGGACUUGAAUAUAGUUGAGGUAGGCGGAAUGUGACAAGUAGCGGUGAAAUGCAUAGAUAUGUCACAGAACACCGAUUGCGAAGGCAGCUUACUAAGCUAUGAUUGACGCUGAGGCUCGAAAGCGUGGGGAUCAAACAGG